rnacentral:rRNA from 1 species
GAGCUUGCUUUGGUGGAUGAGUGGCGAACGGGUGAGUAACACGUGGGUGAUCUGCCCUACACUUUGGGAUAAGCCUGGGAAACUGGGUCUAAUACCGAAUAUUCACACCACCGUAGGGGUGGUGUGGAAAGCCUUGUGCGGUGUGGGAUGAGCCUGCGGCCUAUCAGCUUGUUGGUGGGGUAAUGGCCUACCAAGGCGUCGACGGGUAGCCGGCCUGAGAGGGUGUACGGCCACAUUGGGACUGAGACACGGCCCAGACUCCUACGGGAGGCAGCAGUGGGGAAUAUUGCACAAUGGGCGCAAGCCUGAUGCAGCGACGCCGCGUGGGGGAUGAMGGCCUUCGGGUUGUAAACUCCUUUCGCUAGGGACGAAGCCUU